rnacentral:lncRNA from 1 species
UUUUUUACGAUUAUAGAUGGAGUGAAAGAGACAUAUUUUAGUACUAUUACAUUUUCAUUGGUUUUUUUAUUAUCGCAGAUAUAUUUAUUCUUAUUUAUGUCGUUUAUGUAGAAAUUACAUCAGUUUAUUUUAAAAAUCUGAGGGUACAAAUAGAAGGCUACAAAUAUAAUAAUAAAAAAAAAAAAACAGUGAUGAUAAUAUUAAUUUAUCUAUUGUAGAACAUGGGGAUGGGGUUAUAAAAAAUUGUACUGAGAAUAGUACAAUGGCUAAUAUAGUUAUAAGUGAUACAUUAGAAAGUGCAAUUAAAACUGAUAAAAGUGAUAUACAAAAUAAAGAAAAUAGAAAUGAUAGUAUAUAUUGGAAUAACUAUAAAAUAGAGAAAAAAUCUAUUUUCCAUAUUUUAAAAAAACAAAAUUAUUCAAAUAAAAAAUAGAUUUAAUUUUAAUAAUAUAAUUUUAGGCGCGAAAUUAAUUAAAUACUAUUACGCUUGUUUGGUUCCUAUAUGUCUUACAAUGUUUGCAUCUUAUUUGAUUUUCCCACAUUUACUACCUGAUAUGUUGGACAACACAGAAUACGAAAAAUAUUUCUGUAAAUUUUUGUUCCAACUUAGUAAUGUUACUUUUAGUUUUAUCAUGGCCUUUAUAAUGGGAAAAUUAAAUUUUAUAAAACAGAAAUAUGUUAUGAUUGUUUCUGUAAUAAGAUUAUUAUUUAUAUGGAUAUGUUAUAUAGUAGUAAAAAACAAGCCAACUAAUUUUAUUUAUUCAAAUAUAAUUACAUCAAUUAUUAUAAUAUUAAUAGGGGCUUCAAAUUCAAUUAUACGUAACAUGAGUUUUGCACGUAUCGGAACAUGUUUCGAAGACAAUGUUAAAAAAGAUCAUUAUGUUUCUGUAUCUUCUUCCUUUUGUUCUUUAUCAUACCUAGUCAGUUAUGCUUUAGCACCAUGGUUUGCUCGUAUAAUUAAAGCUAUAUAAAGGAACAUGUAUGUAAGAAACAUAAAAAGUUGUAUACAUAGAUACGAUAUAUAUGUGUUAUGUCUAUGUACUUAUUUAUAUAUUUACUUGUUCUUUAUGAAUUUUAAUUAAACAAUUGCAUGUACAUAAUGAACGUAUCUUCCCCUAUAUAUAUAUAUAUAUAUAUUUAUUUAUUAAGCUUUUUUUUUUUUUUUUUUUUUUUUAAUAUCAAUGUUAUAUAUCAUAGACCAUUUAUCAAAUAUGCCCAUACACUUUUUUUUUUUUUUAAUAAGUGUCAAAAUUGGCAUGUAUAUAUAUAUGUGCAUUUUACUUUGUUAAUUCUUGUGUAAUACUUUAUUACAUACUCUUUCCUAACACGAGUAUAACCGCUUAAAUAAGUGAACGUACACUUUUAUAUGCAUAUAUUCAUUAUAGACAUGACAAUUAUUUUUAAUUAUCUCCUUUUAGUAUUCAUUUUAUUUUU